rnacentral:lncRNA from 1 species
UCUUGAGCUGGGUGGAGGUGUUCAGCUCUGCACUAGAGUCUGCACAGUGUAUGUAGGUUAUACUUUGCCGUGGAUUGAAUGUUUGUGUCUCCCCAAAGCACGUUUGUUGAAACCUUAAUCCCAAUGUGAUGGUAUUGAAGACGGAGACGUUGGGAGGUCAUGAGGGUGGAGCCCUCACGAUGGGAUUAGUGCCAUUAUAAAGCAUGAAAGAGGUUGUUUUCUCUCUCUCUCUUUUUCUCUCUGCCCCACCGUGUGAGCAAAUGAGGAAGAGGGCCCUCACCAGAACCCAUCCAUGCUGGCACCCUGAUCUGGGACCUGACAGCCUCCAGAACUCAUCGAGUAAUUCUUGAUUCACAGGAACACAGUCCUUGCAAACAAGCUAUGAAGCUAGGAGCCCAGAGCUGACCUCAGCUGUCUCUCUCACCACGCAGAGAAGCCUGCUCACAGUGAGAGAGUACACAGUGAUUCUCAGAGAGAGUUUCCCAAUCUCUCCUGAAUUUCUCAUCUCUUCAUCCAGUAUAUGCAUCUUUUACUGUAGACUCUUCAACAUGUUUAUCAAAGUCAUUUUAAAGUCCUUGUCGGCUAAUUCUGGC